AGUACCGAAGUCUUCGAUUCCACACUGCCAAGAAAAGCCUCUAGCGAGAUGCAAGGUGCCCGUACCGCAAACCGACACAGGUAGGCGAGGAGAGAAUCCUAAGGUGAGCGAGUGAACUCUCGUUAAGGAACUCGGCAAAAUGACCCCGUAACUUCGGGAGAAGGGGUGCUCUGGUAGGGUGCAAGCCCGAGAGAGCCGCAGUGAAUAGGCCCAGGCGACUGUUUAGCAAAAACACAGGUCUCUGCAAAGCCGCAAGGCGACGUAUAGGGGCUGACGCCUGCCCGGUGCUGGAAGGUUAAGAGGAGGGCUCAGCCGCAAGGCGAAGGUCUGAAUUGAAGCCCCAGUAAACGGCGGCCGUAACUAUAACGGUCCUAAGGUAGCGAAAUUCCUUGUCGGGUAAGUUCCGACCCGCACGAAAGGCGCAACGAUCUGGGCACUGUCUCAACGAGAGACUCGGUGAAAUUAUAGUACCUGUGAAGAUGCAGGUUACCCGCGACAGGACGGAAAGACCCCGUGGAGCUUUACUGCAGCCUGAUAUUGAAUUUUGGCACAGUCUGCACAGGAUAGGCAGGAGCCUUGGAAGCCGGAGCGCCAGCUUCGGUGGAGGCGCUGGUGGGAUACUGCCCUGACUGUGUUGAAAUUCUAACCCGCACCCGUGAUCCGGGUGGGAGACAGUGUCAGGCGGGCAGUUUGACUGGGGCGGUCGCCUCCUAAAAUGUAACGGAGGCGCCCAAAGGUUCCCUCAGAAUGGUUGGAAAUCAUUCGCAGAGUGUAAAGGCACAAGGGAGCUUGACUGCGAGACCUACAAGUCGAGCAGGGACGAAAGUCGGGCUUAGUGAUCCGGUGGUUCCGCAUGGAAGGGCCAUCGCUCAACGGAUAAAAGCUACCCCGGGGAUAACAGGCUUAUCUCCCCCAAGAGUCCACAUCGACGGGGAGGUUUGGCACCUCGAUGUCGGCUCAUCGCAUCCUGGGGCUGUAGUCGGUCCCAAGGGUUGGGCUGUUCGCCCAUUAAAGCGGUACGCGAGCUGGGUUCAGAACGUCGUGAGACAGUUCGGUCCCUAUCCGUCGCGGGCGCAGGAAAUUUGAGAGGAGCUGUCCUUAGUACGAGAGGACCGGGAUGGACAUACCGCUGGUGUACCAGCUGUCUCGCCAGAGGCAUCGCUGGGUAGCUACGUAUGGACGGGAUAAGUGCUGAAAGCAUCUAAGCAUGAAGCCCCCCUCAAGAUGAGAUUUCCCAUUACGCAAGUAAGUAAGAUCCCUUGAAGAAGACGAGGUAGAUAGGUUCGGGGUGGAAGUGCGGCGACGCAUGGAGCUGACGAAUACUAAUCGAUCGAGGACUUAAUCAAU
rnacentral:rRNA from 1 species